GUGGGGAAUCUUGCGCAAUGGGCGCAAGCCUGAUCUAGCCAUGCCGCGUGAGUGAUGAAGGCCCUAGGGUUGUAAAGCUCUUUCAGCUGGGAAGAUAAUGACGGUACCAGCAGAAGAAGCCCCGGCUAACUCCGUGCCAGCAGCCGCGGUAAUACGGAGGGGGCUAGCGUUGUUCGGAAUUACUGGGCGUAAAGCGCGCGUAGGCGGACUGAAAAGUUGGGGGUGAAAUCCCGGGGGUAAAACUGGGAACUGCCUUGAAAACUAUCAAGCUGGAGUUAGAGAGAGGUGAGUGGAAUUCCGAGUGUAGAGGUGAAAUUCGUAGAUAUUCGGAGGAACACCAGUGGCGAAGGCGGCUCACUGGCUCGAUACUGACGCUGAGGUGCGAAAGCGUGGGGAGCAAACAGGAUUAGAAACCCGGGUAGUCC
rnacentral:rRNA from 1 species